rnacentral:rRNA from 1 species
AUGCCUUGGAAAGGAACACCGACACCCUGUGAUGACGUCGAUCGCCAACUCUUCGCCAUCUGCACUUCCCUACUUUUGGGGGACGGCAGUGUUGCGGUUUUCUGGCGGGAUCGUUGGCUAAAUGGUGAGGCCCCGCAGCAGUUGGUGCCUGAUAUUUACAGUCUUGCUAGAGUUAAGAAUUUGACAGUCAAAGAGGCGCUAUACAAUGGGCGCUGGAUGCAAGGGUUGCAAAGAAUGAACAAUGUUAGUCAACUCUGCCAAUUUGUCAAGCUGUGGGACAAGUUGCAGAUGGUUAAUCUUUCGACAACUAAAGACAAAGCAAAAUGGAACAUCACUGCAAAUGGAGGAUACUCCGCCUGCUCAGCUUAUGAGAUCCAAUUCUCGGCACGGAUUGAGUGGCCCGAGAUUGCCAACGUGUGGAAGACAAAGCUAGAGGGGAGGAUUCGGUUCUAUAUAUGGCUCUUGCUGCAAAAUAGAAAUUGGACCGUAGACAGAUUAUGGGCCAGAGGUUGGCCUCACAAUGCAUGUUGCCGGGUAUGUGAGUAG